UACGGAGGGUGCAAGCGUUAUCCGGAUUCACUGGGUUUAAAGGGUGCGUAGGUGGGCAGGUAAGUCAGUGGUGAAAUCUCUGGGCUUAACCCGGAACUGCCGUUGAUACUAUCUGUCUUGAAUAUAGUGGAGGUGAGCGGAAUAUGUCAUGUAGCGGUGAAAUGCUUAGAUAUGACAUAGAACAUCGAUUGCGAAGGCAGCUCGCUACGCUAUUAUUGACACUGAGGCACGAAAGCGUGGGGAUCAAACAGG
rnacentral:rRNA from 1 species